rnacentral:tRNA from 1 species
GGGCCCGUAGCUCAGUCUGGUAGAUAAGCUGGAGGCUUAGCCAAGAGCAACCGGCUCUUAACCGGUUGGUCGCGGGUUCAAAUCCCGUCGGGCCCA